rnacentral:rRNA from 1 species
AACGAACGCUGGCAGCAUGCCUAACACAUGCAAGUCGAACGAGACCUUCGGGUCUAGUGGCGCACGGGUGCGUAACGCGUGGGAACCUGCCCUUAGGUUCGGAAUAACUCCCCGAAAGGGGUGCUAAUACCGGAUAAUGUCUUCGGACCAAAGAUUUAUCGCCUUUGGAUGGGCCCGCGUUGGAUUAGCUAGUUGGUAGGGUAAAAGCCUACCAAGGCGACGAUCCAUAGCUGGUCUGAGAGGAUGAUCAGCCACACUGGGACUGAGACACGGCCCAGACUCCUACGGGAGGCAGCAGUGGGGAAUAUUGGACAAUGGGCGAAAGCCUGAUCCAGCAAUGCCGCGUGAGUGAUGAAGGCCUUAGGGUUGUAAAGCUCUUUUACCCAGGAUGAUAAUGACAGUACCGGGAGAAUAAGCUCCGACUAACUCCGUG